ACGCGACCCCAGGUCU
rnacentral:rRNA from 1 species